rnacentral:rRNA from 1 species
GUAGGGCGCAAGCGUUGUCCGGAUUUAUUGGGCGUAAAGAGCUCGUAGGCGGCCUGUCGCGUCGACUGUGAAAACCCGCGGCUUAACUGCGGGACUGCAGUCGAUACGGGCAGGCUAGAGUUCGGUAGGGGAGACUGGAAUUCCUGGUGUAGCGGUGAAAUGCGCAGAUAUCAGGAGGAACACCGGUGGCGAAGGCGGGUCUCUGGGCCGAUACUGACGCUGAGGAGCGAAAGCGUGGGGAGCGAACAGGAUUAGAUACCCUGGUAGUCCACGCUGUAAACGUUGGGCGCUAGGUGUGGGGGGCCUCUCCGGUCCUCUGUGCCGCAGCUAACGCAUUAAGCGCCCCGCCUGGGGAGUACGGCCGCAAGGCUAAA